rnacentral:rRNA from 1 species
UACGUAGGGCGCGAGCGUUGUCCGGAAUUAUUGGGCGUAAAGAGCUCGUAGGCGGCUCGUCGCGUCGACCGUGAAAACCCGCGGCUUAACUGCGGGCUUGCGGUUGAUACGGGCGGGCUAGAGUUCGGUAGGGGAGACUGGAAUUCCUGGUGUAGCGGUGAAAUGCGCAGAUAUCAGGAGGAACACCGGUGGCGAAGGCGGGUCUCUGGGCCGAUACUGACGCUGAGGAGCGAAAGCGUGGGGAGCGAACAGG